rnacentral:pre_miRNA from 1 species
UGAAGAAGGAAAGUUGGGUGUUUGGAAUGAAGUUUGAUCCAAGAUCUUUUCGCCAUUGAUCUUGUUUUCAGUCCCAUAUAUAUUUUAAAAAAAAGAUACCGGGGUAAGUUUUAUUCCAAUAUUUUAGGGCCAGAUCUCGGACCAGGCUUCAUUCUUCACACCUUACUUUUUAUUGCAAAU